rnacentral:tRNA from 1 species
GCCCUCGUAGUGUAACGGUCAGCACACUCGGCGCGUACUGGAGAGGUCCAGGUUCGAAUCUCGGUGAGGGCG